rnacentral:rRNA from 1 species
ACAUCCAGCGAACUUGGCAGAGAUGCCUUGGUGCCUUCGGGAACGCUGAGACAGGUGCUGCAUGGCUGUCGUCAGCUCGUGUUGUGAAAUGUUGGGUUAAGUCCCGNAACGAGCGCAACCCUUAUCCUUUGUUGCCAGCGAUUCGGUCGGGAACUCAAAGGAGACUGCCGGUGAUAAACCGGAGGAAGGUGGGGAUGACGUCAAGUCAUCAUGGCCCUUACGAGUAGGGCUACACACGUGCUACAAUGGCGCAUACAAAGAGAAGCGACCUCGCGAGAGCAAGCGGACCUCAUAAAGUGCGUCGUAGUCCGGAUCGGAGUCUGCAACUCGACUCCGUGAAGUCGGAAUCGCUAGUAAUCGUGGAUCAGAAUGCCACGGUGAAUACGUUCCCGGGCCUUGUACACACCGCCCGUCACACAUGGGAGUGGGUUGCAAAAGAAGUAGGUAGCUUAACCUCCGGGAGGGCGCUUACCACUUUGUGAUUCAUGACUGGGGUGAAGUCGUAACAAGGUAGGCGUAGCGAG